GAAUUGCUAGUAAUCGCGGAUCAGCAUGCCGCGGUGAAUACGUUCCCGGGCCUUGUACACACCGCCCGUCACACCAUGGGAGCCGGUAAUACCCGAAGUCAAUAGUCCAACCUCGUGAGGACGCUGCCGAAGGUAGGAUUGGCGACUGGGGUGAAGUCGUAACAAGGUACC
rnacentral:rRNA from 1 species